rnacentral:rRNA from 1 species
GACGAACGCUGGCGGCGUGCUUAACACAUGCAAGUCGAACGGAAAGUCCCUGCUUUUGUUUGGUGCUCGAUUGGCUAACGGUUGAGUAACACUUAAUUAACCUUCCCUUGACUUUGGGAUAACUUCAGGAAACUAGUGCUAACACCGGAUAGUACCUCCUGCUGCAUGUUGGUGCUUGGAAAUUUUCGGCGGUUGGGCAUUGACCCGCUGCUUAUCAGCUUGUUGGUGGGGUAGUUGCUUACCAAGGCUUUGACGGGUAGCCGGCCUGAGAGGGUGACAGGCCACAUUGGGACUGAGAUACGGCCAAGACUCAUACGGGAGGCAGCAGUGGGGGAUAUUGCACAAUGGGCGGAAGCCUGAUGCAGGAACGCCGCGUGCGAGAUGACGGCCUUCGGGUUGUAAACCGCUUUCGCCUGUGACGAAGAGUGAGUGACGGUAAUGGGUGAAGAAGCGACGGCUAACUACGUG